rnacentral:rRNA from 1 species
AGAGGCCCAAGUUGAUGGACACCGGCGUAAAGCGUGGUUAAGAUUUUUUCAAAACUAAAGCCGAACACCUUCAGGGCUGUUAUACGCACCCGAAGGCAAGAAGAUCAACCACGAAAGUGGCUUUACAGCCCUGAAUCCACGAAAGCUACGACACAAACUGGGAUUAGAUACCCCACUAUGCCUAGCCGUAAACAUUGGUAAUAUAAUACAUUCAUUACCCGCCUGGGAACUACGAGCAUCA